AAUUAACUUCGGUUAAUUUUAGUGGCGGACGGGUGAGUAACACGUGAGAAUUCGCCUUUAGGAGGGGGAUAACGGAUGGAAACAUUCGCUAAAACCCCAUAUGCCCCUGGGUGAAACAGAGGAGAUAAGUAAUACUGACUCUUACCUCUGCCUGAAGAGAAGCUCGCGGCUGAUUAGCUAGUUGGUAGGGUAAAGGCCUACCAAGGCGACGAUCAGUAGCUGGUCUGAGAGGACGAUCAGCCACACUGGAACUGAGACACGGUCCAGACUCCUACGGGAGGCAGCAGUGAGGAAUUUUCUGCAAUGGGCGAAAGCCUGACAGAGCAAUACCGCGUGAGGGAUGAAGACUUACUGAGUUGUAAACCUCGGUACCUUAAGGAAGAAGAUCUGACGGUACUUAAGGUGGAAAGCAUCGGCUAACUCCGUGCCAGCAGCCGCGGUAAGACGGGGGAUGCAAGUGUUAUCCGGAUUUACUGGGCGUAAAGCGUCUGCAGGUGGUUUUCUAAGUCUACUGUUAAAUCUUGAGGCUCAACCUCAAAUCUGCAGUAGAAACUAGAAGACUUGAGUAUAGUAGGGGUAGAGGGAAUUUCCAGUGGAGCGGUGAAAUGCGUAGAUAUUGGAAAGAACACCGAUGGCGAAGGCACUCUACUGGGCUAUUACUGACACUCAGAGACGAAAGCUAGGGGAGCAAAUGGGAUUAGAUACCCCAGUAGUCCUAGCCGUAAACGAUGGAUACUCGAUGUUGGACGUAUCAACCCGUUCAGUAUCUUAGCUAACGCGUUAAGUAUCCCGCCUGGGGAGUACGCUCGCAAGAGUGAAACUCAAAGGGAAUUGACGGGGGGCCCGCACAAGCGGUGGAGGAUGUGGUUUAAUUCGAUGCAACGCGAAGAACCUUACCAGGGUUUGCUAGAAGUGUUGGUUUUCUGAAAGAAUUCCUUAUUCCGCUUCUACAGGUGGUGCAUGG
rnacentral:rRNA from 1 species